GAAAUGCGAUAAGUAAUGUGAAUUGCAGAAUUCAGUGAAUCAUCGAAUCUUUGAACGCACAUUGCGCCCGCCGACAUCCCGACGGGCAUGCCUGUUCGAGCGUCAUUUCAACCCUCGCGAGUCGGGCUCUUUUGCCCCUCCCGUCGACGUUGGGGUCGUUCGCCCGACGCCUCCCGGCGCGGGCGGCCCCCGAACCCAGCGGCGGCGGCCGCCUUCCUCCCGGCGUUGCAGAAGGUUCGUCGAACCCCCUCGCCAGCGGAGCGGAUCCGGACGCCUGCCUUGCCACACGAACCCCGCUCGGGUCUCGCCCGAACGUACGAUUGACCUCGGAUCAGGUAGGGAUACCCGCUGAACUUAAGC
rnacentral:misc_RNA from 1 species